rnacentral:rRNA from 1 species
AUGAGAAUUAGCAGUGAUGAGGAUGUGCAACAUAUUAUCAGAGCUAGUGCUGAGCAUAAGAUGCUUGUAGUCAUGGUUGACCAUACAGAUUUCAUCAGCAACUUCAGGUCUGACCUGGUGUGCACAUUGCCCCUAUCUUUCAUAACAUCAACAACAAGUUUUGCAGCAGCAAAUGCAUCCCCUUCCCAUAGCCUAGUUUCAGUCUUUGUAGAAGAUCCUUUGUCAGAGAUUGUAGCAAAUGGAACAGACCCAGAGAGUUUGCUUAUUGAGGGUGCUGAGCAGAACAUGCUAACUGAAGAUCCCUUGUUAGAGAUUGCACCAAUUGGAACAGACCCACAGAGUUUGCUUAUUGAGGGUGCUGAGCACAACAUGCUAAUUGAAGAUGGAGAAACAGUUAUUGAAGAUGUAGUUGUUUCGGAUUCUGAUUUCAGUGACAGUGACUAUGACAUAGAUGAUGGUGAUGAUGAUCUUUAUAAUGACAACAUUGACUUUGAUGUUGAUGAAGAAGCUGAUCAGGAUGAGGAUGAUGUGGAGCCUGAAUACUUGCUUGAGGAUGAAGAUCUCAACCUAUCAACUGAGCAAGCAGAUGAACUUAGGUACAAGUUUAAAGCUUUCAAUGCAAAGGUGGACAUGAUUUCCCCUGUGUUUAAAGUAGGGAUGGUAUUUGCUGAUGUGGUUGAGCUAAGACAUGCACUGACUGCAUAUUCAGUUAGAAACAGAGUGCAGAUCAAGAAGAUAAAGAAUGACAAGAGGAGACUUGAAGCAGUUUGUGAAAAUGGUUGCCCAUGGUUUCUGUAUGCUGGCAAUGACAACAGGACAGGGGGUUUCUCAUCAAGACUUACUAUGGAGAACAUAUAUGUCAGAAGAAAUGGAAGAUAA